rnacentral:rRNA from 1 species
AUUGAACGCUGGCGGCAGGCCUAACACAUGCAAGUCGAACGAGUGGCGGACGUGUGAGUAAUGUCUGGGAAACUGCCUGAUGGAGGGGGAUAACUAAUGGAAACGGUAGCUAAUACCGCAUACCAUCGGAUGUGCCCAGAUGGGAUUAGCUAGUAGGUGGGGUAAAGGCUCACCUAGGCGACGAUCCGUAGCUGGUCUGAGAGGAUGACCAGUCACACUGGAACUGAGACACGGUCCAGACUCCUACGGGAGGCAGCAGUGGGGAAUAUUGCACAAUGGGCGAAAGCCUGAUGCAGCCAUGCCGCGUGUAUGAAGAAGGUCUUAGGGUUGUAAAGCACUUUCAGUCGGGAGGCGUUACCGACAGAAGAAGCACCGGCUAACUCCGUGCCAGCAGCCGCGGUAAUAC